GCACCAACUCAGAACCUCUGUGUAUCUGCUCUGUGGCCUCAGAGGUCUGGGGGCGGUGCCAGAGGAGACCUAGCUUGCUCACAUCCGGGGCUGCUCGGUGCCACCGAAAUGAUUCCUUUGGCAGCAAGCGACAUUC